GAUGAACGCUAGCGGCGGGCUUAAUACAUGCAAGUCGUGGGGCAGCAUGAAGUAGCAAUACUUUGAUGGCGACCGGCAAACGGGUGCGGAACACGUACACAACCUUCCUUUUAGUGGGGAAUAGCCCAGAGAAAUUUGGAUUAAUACCCCGUAACAUAGCGAUGUGGCAUCACAUUGCUAUUAUAGCUUCGGCGCUAGAUGAUGGGUGUGCGUAUGAUUAGAUAGUUGGCGAGGUAACGGCUCACCAAGUCUACGAUCAUUAGCUGAUGUGAGAGCAUGAUCAGCCACACGGGCACUGAGACACGGGCCCGACUCCUACGGGAGGCAGCAGUAAGGAAUAUUGGUCAAUGGACGAAAGUCUGAACCAGCCAUGCCGCGUGAAGGAUUAAGGUCCUCUGGAUUGUAAACUUCUUUUAUAUGGGACGAAAAAAGGUCUUUCUAGAUCACUUGACGGUACCAUAUGAAUAAGCACCGGCUAACUCCGUGCCAGCAGCCGCGGUAACAC
rnacentral:rRNA from 1 species